rfam:Triticum aestivum genome assembly, contig: Triticum_aestivum_CS42_TGACv1_scaffold_165831_2DL
CAAAUACUCACUCCGUCCAGAAAUACUUGUCAUCAAAAUGGAUAAAAGGAGAUGUAUCUAGACGUAUUUUAGUUUUAGAUACAUCUCUUUUUAUCCAUUUUGAUGACAAGUAUUUUCGGACGGAGGGAGUAGAAA